rnacentral:rRNA from 1 species
CCUACGGGUGGCAGCAGUGAGGAAUAUUGGUCAAUGGGCGGGAGCCUGAACCAGCCAAGUCGCGUGAGGGAAGACGGCCCUAUGGAUUGUAAACCUCUUUAGGCGGGGAGCAAUGCCGGGCACGCGUGCCUGUAGGGAGAUUACCUGUAGAAUAAGCAUCGGCUAAUGCCGUGCCAGCAGCCGCGGUAAUACGGAGGAUGCGAGCGUUAUCCGGAUUUAUGGGGUUUAAAGGGUGCGUAGGCGGAUUUUAAAGUCAGCGGUAAAAUGUCCGGGCUCAACCUAGGCCGGCAGUUGAUACUGGGGAUCUUGAGUGGGCGAGAGGUAUGCGGAAUGCGUGGUGUAGCGGUGAAAUGCAUAGAUAUCACGCAGAACUCCGAUUGCGAAGGCAGCAUACCGGCGCCCGACUGACGCUGAGGCACGAAAGCGUGGGGAUCGAACAGGAUUAGAUACCCGAGUAGUC